UACGUAGGGAGCAAGCGUUAUCCGGAAUUAUUGGGUGUAAAGGGUGCGUAGACGGGAAAGCAAGUUGGUUGUGAAAUCCCUCAGCUCAACUGAGGAACUGCAACCAAAACUACUAUACUUGAGUGCAGGAGAGGAAAGCGGAAUUCCUAGUGUAGCGGUGAAAUGCGUAGAUAUUAGGAGGAACACCGGUGGCGAAGGCGGCUUUCUGGACUGUAACUGACGUUGAGGCACGAGAGUGUGGGGAGCAAAC
rnacentral:rRNA from 1 species